rnacentral:rRNA from 2 species
ACGCUGGCGGCGUGCCUAAUACAUGCAAGUCGAACGAACUCUGGUAUUGAUUGGUGUUUGCAUCAUGAUUUACAUUUGAGUGAGUGGCGAACUGGUGAGUAACACGUGGGAAACCUGCCCAGAAGCGGGGGAUAACACCUGGAAACAGAUGCUAAUACCGCAUAACAACUUGGACCGCAUGGUCCGAGCUUGAAAGAUGGCUUCGGCUAUCACUUUUGGAUGGUCCCGCGGCGUAUUAGCUAGAUGGUGGGGUAACGGCUCACCAUGGCAAUGAUACGUAGCCGACCUGAGAGGGUAAUCGGCCACAUUGGGACUGAGACACGGCCCAAACUCCUACGGGAGGCAGCAGUAGGGAAUCUUCCACAAUGGACGAAAGUCUGAUGGAGCAACGCCGCGUGAGUGAAGAAGGGUUUCGGCUCGUAAAACUCUGUUGUUAAAGAAGAACAUAUCUGAGAGUAACUGUUCAGGUAUUGACGGUAUUUAACCAGAAAGCCACGGCUAACUACGUGCCAGCAGCCGCGGUAAUACGUAGGUGGCAAGCGUUGUCCGGAUUUAUUGGGCGUAAAGCGAGCGCAGGCGGUUUUUUAAGUCUGAUGUGAAAGCCUUCGGCUCAACCGAAGAAGUGCAUCGGAAACUGGGAAACUUGAGUGCAGAAGAGGACAGUGGAACUCCAUGUGUAGCGGUGAAAUGCGUAGAUAUAUGGAAGAACACCAGUGGCGAAGGCGGCUGUCUGGUCUGUAACUGACGCUGAGGCUCGAAAGUAUGGGUAGCAAACAGGAUUAGAUACCCUGGUAGUCCAUACCGUAAACGAUGAAUGCUAAGUGUUGGAGGGUUUCCGCCCUUCAGUGCUGCAGCUAACGCAUUAAGCAUUCCGCCUGGGGAGUACGGCCGCAAGGCUGAAACUCAAAGGAAUUGACGGGGGCCCGCACAAGCGGUGGAGCAUGUGGUUUAAUUCGAAGCUACGCGAAGAACCUUACCAGGUCUUGACAUACUAUGCAAAUCUAAGAGAUUAGACGUUCCCUUCGGGGACAUGGAUACAGGUGGUGCAUGGUUGUCGUCAGCUCGUGUCGUGAGAUGUUGGGUUAAGUCCCGCAACGAGCGCAACCCUUAUUAUCAGUUGCCAGCAUUAAGUUGGGCACUCUGGUGAGACUGCCGGUGACAAACCGGAGGAAGGUGGGGAUGACGUCAAAUCAUCAUGCCCCUUAUGACCUGGGCUACACACGUGCUACAAUGGAUGGUACAACGAGUUGCGAACUCGCGAGAGUAAGCUAAUCUCUUAAAGCCAUUCUCAGUUCGGAUUGUAGGCUGCAACUCGCCUACAUGAAGUCGGAAUCGCUAGUAAUCGCGGAUCAGCAUGCCGCGGUGAAUACGUUCCCGGGCCUUGUACACACCGCCCGUCACACCAUGAGAGUUUGUAACACCCAAAGUCGGUGGGGUAACCUUUUAGGAACCAGCCGCCUAAGGUGGGACAGAUGAUUAGGGUGAA